ensembl:lncRNA
CUGAAAUUCAACCCCUUUCCUCUACUUCUGAUGCAUGUCAUAAUUCAGAUGAACACUCAGUUGAUGACACAGAUAUACGGGACAGUAAUCAAUAUGAUACUGAUGCACUGAGAAACCAGCUUAAGCAUAACGCAGCCUCUUUAUUUCUGAAGAUGCAGGGUAUUUGUCCAGAUAACCAAAGCUAACCGUGACAUUUAUGUUGAAAGUGUAGUGCAAAAUUACUUUGUCAACAGCCAUUAUGGAUUUUAGUGAGACUGUGUUUUACGUGAGUCACUAACACAUUUCCAUCCCAUUACUUGUUUUCCCACCUGACAUACUUCCCGAUCUUUUGGAGGGUAUUGUGCCGAUUGAAUUGAAUUGUUGUAUUAAAGAGAUGAUCCAGCUCAAAUACUUUACCCUAGACCACCCCCCGGGCCCAAAUGGUCUCCCUGCUCCUUACUACCAAAAGGGGGCUCCAAUCCGAAUGACACAAUGCCAACGAAGUAGUGGAGAAGGUAGUGAUGGACCACUUCCUCUGCCUCCUAAAGAAUGGAAAGUUGUGGGGAUGAGGAAUGCCAGGGGCCCAUGGGAGAUGGUGCAGGUCCUCAAAUGUGUCCUGCCCACACUGAGCGUUGACAGGGGAGAGCAGAAGGACCCAAUACUGGGGCUGUGCAGGAACCAAGGACUAUGGUAGCCACAAUCCGCCCUCCAUUUGGAAAGGAGAGCAACCCUGCCUAUGGGACACCCCAGCAUAAACCCAUGCCCACCAAGCUAGACCCGGCCACCCCACACAUCAUUUAGCCUUGGAUGGUGGGCUGUGCCCAUCAUGCUGUAUCACUGCCAGACCAUGGCUUUAAGGGUGAAUGGAUUCAGAGUACUGUCACCCUGGCACACCCGACCAUCCUUGACCCACGACCCAAAUCCACAGGGUUCCAUGAAUCCAUGGAGACAUCUGGGAGGUCACUAACUCCUCACUGACCACCACCUGGCUGCUCCUCAUCGGCCUGAUCCCUGAGCUCCUGGUGCCACUUCU